UGUCCCUGCGCUGCAUGGGCUGCUACGCCGAGGCACCUCUUCUGUUGGCGUAAGAAUUAGUUUUGUUGCCUGUUAUUUUCCCUCCGACGUCGUUUCUGGUGUUUCAUGCCAACUUUUUAUGGUUUUCAUGUUGCCAUUGAUGUCCAGUAUCGUCCUUGGGCCGGGAUGACUGAUCUUCCUGAGGCCUUACGUUUGUCUGGUAUUUGGGGGAGCAUGUCGUUCGUCAGCAUAGCGGUGAUCGCUUUGUGGUGCCCUCAUCUCCACCAGAGUCGAUGCUGGACUCACGCUUGAUUAGGGAUUUGAUAAACAGGGGAGAGCACUAUACUUUUCCAUGGCAGGAGUUUGUGCACAUGGAGGGUGAUUAUGCGCAGGACUUGCUUCCCUCUCUAGCUCCUCCACCCCGUCUUCCUAAGACGACUAUUCGCCCUGUGGGGAGGAUCGAGAUUUCGCCUUAGUCUGUCCGCUAUCCAAGGCCGAUUGGUAUCACUGAGGACCAUAUUGCUGACGCGCCAGAGGGUUACAGAAAGGCGCAGGAGUCUUUGCCCCAGGUCUUUGAGCCGUCUAACCGCCCGGAGAUGAUGGGAUUCAUGAAGCUGGUUGACGCCCUGAAGUACUGCAUCAUCAAGCUUCGGCGCGGUGCGAGUUGUCGUAGCUCUAGCGACGUUCUUGAGGAGCAACGGAGGUCCCGCUCGCGCUCGAGGCAUAGAGGCUCGGACGAGGAGCUUGGUCGUGGUAGACGAUCUCCUGAGAUUCACCGGCGUUCUCAUUCUCAACGAGAGCCUCAGAUUACUCAGCCGUUUCAGGAGGCUCAGUGGCAGCAGCCUCAGUCUUCCCAGCGCUUUCCGGGCCAGAUUCAGGGGCAGCGGCAGUCGUUUUUUACAGCCUCCACAGCCUGAGCUUGGGUCUGUCUUGACUCCCGUGGAUCCUGGUUCAUUUUCAGCUCCAUUGUCUGGGAUUCCUCCACAAGUGUCAGGCUUGUUCUCAGUUCUAAUGUAUGGGACGAUGCCUUCACCGACGAUUCCCGCGUCUUUGAGUCAGUCUACACCGUUUGCCGGUUGGACGGGUCCUGCCUUGAGUUUGACUACUGCUGGGGUCACAGGGACUAGUAGGGACACUACUCCCCGUACUCGGAUGAUGGAGGGACUCUUUGGCUCACCGUUCCCAUAUUCACAGGGUGGAGAUGAUACUGAU